rnacentral:lncRNA from 1 species
AUUGUCCCUAGUGAUUCUGAUCCACAGUGAAAACUGAAAACUGUUCUAAUAUUCACCUUGCCAGAAAAAUGAGACUGUGUGAAGGGAACCCUCACUUCAAAUUGUAGAAGGAAGCUUUGAGAUUUCCAGGGAAGACGGAAGACAGAACAGGUGUCACUUUGAAAUCAGCCAAGAUGCAGUGGGUCUUAGUAAAGCAAUGGACCUCAAAACAGAUUGCAAAACAAGAACUGGUAUUAGCACAGAGACAUCACAUGAAAAGGAAGAGAAACCAAAUGAAAAGGAGAGUUCCAAAUACCAGGUCACAAUUGAAGGGGAAAUAUAUCUGCAGAGAGAUAUGGAAAUGUGUGUGUGUACGGCCUGGAUAUAUACAAACAUCUCUCCAGAUACAGAAGCAAAUGCAGAAUGUCCACAUCUCCAGGCAGAUUUAGAAAAAAAAAAAGACAAAACUGGAAUGGGAUGCUCCCAAAGUCUCAUUGGCCUUAAACAAAUCUUUGCUCUAAAACUGCACAGCCCUCCUUGAAUUUGAUCCCUUAAAUUAUUACCUACUUUGCUCUCUUAAAAUAAAAUAAAUAACUUGUAGCUUCUCCCCUGAGAGCAGCUGGCCAGACAUGCAGAAUGACAAACCUGUGUUGGUUUUCAGGUCAUCGCUGAUGGAAUCUAGAAAAGUUUUUGUACAAAUCUGCCCCUUCCUUACUACGUCACAGAGUUCUACAGUGUUUUAACAGUACCAUGGGUCCUUAAUAUGAUACAUACAUGCACGUAUAUAUCAUGGAGAUAUGGCUUUCAUUAUGUUAUUAUAUGUAUUCUGAAGGGUUUUGUUUUUUUUUUUUUUUAAAUCACCAACAAAGAGAACAAACGACCCAACUCUUAUCUCUCAUAGGUCAGCAUAUAACUUGAAUGGACAUAAGGUUCAUCUUGUCAUCUCCCUCGCUUGACUGCAGAUGCUACUGGAUUUCCUUUUGUUCUCUGUUAAUUUACACUUUUGAAUUUUUGAGAAUUGACUUUCCAAGCCUUUAAUGAAAAACAAGGUGUUUCAGUAAUUAACGGGCACAAGCAAAACCUAAAACAGAGCUAUCGCACCUUCAGAAACAAAUAAGAAAUAACAUCACCUAAGAUGAAUGAAAAUCACUCCCUUUCAAUCUGGCUCAUGUUAUAAAGAUGUCAAGUUUAGCAAAAUUCCCCUCACAGAGGGUAGCAAGUUUUCUUGAGGAACAGAAAUAUUUUUCUUUCUUGGUAUAUCUGACCAUUCAAAUAGCUGUAAAUUUCUAUUUAAAUUUGCGCCCUCUUUUUUGCAAAACCAGUGACUAUGCCCAGAAGCACAUUUCCAGUGCUUGGUCUGGGCACAGCCUUCCGUUGGCAUGCUGUGCCAAAUUUUGUAUUUUGACGUUUUCAAUGGAGUGAAGGAAACAAAGACAGCAUACUGACAAUGGAGAACACUUGGAAUGAAACCACUCUCCCAACCAGAGCCCAGAGCAAGGGACUUGACCUGUGUACACUGAACGUGAGUGCAUGUGAUGCCCUCAGGGUGAGGUUUCCUUUCCCUUAGGGAUUGAUUCUGCCCUUCCCACAGUCCUGUGGGUUCCACGUGGAUGAGGAUUUCCAGGCUUCGGGGUCCAUAUUCAUUAAAACCCAUCACCACCGUACAACCCAGAGACAUUGAAACUCAGCUAAUAUACUCCAUUAGCUUCCCCUAAUUGUAUAAGUCAUACCUUUUUAUGGAUCUGCUCUACCUAUCAGGGGAACGAUGUCUGGAGCGGUAGUGUCUGCACACAAGGUAUUAAUCAACGAAGACCAUGCACAAUUUUGCUUGCAC